AUUGAACGCUGGCGGCAUGCCUUACACAUGCAAGUCGAACGGUAACGGGCCUUCGGUGCCGACGAGUGGCGAACGGGUGAGUAAUGCAUCGGAACGUACCUUUCAGUGGGGGAUAACGUAGCGAAAGUUACGCUAAUACCGCAUAUUCUGUGAGCAGGAAAGCAGGGGAUCGCAAGACCCUGCGCUGAUUGAGCGGCCGAUGUCAGAUUAGCUAGUUGGUGAGGUAAAGGCUCACCAAGGCGACGAUCUGUAGCGGGUCUGAGAGGAUGAUCCGCCACACUGGAACUGAGACACGGUCCAGACUCCUACGGAGGCAGCAGUGGGGGAAUUUUUGGACAAUGGGGCAACCCUGAUCCAGCCAUGCCGCGUGAGUGAA
rnacentral:rRNA from 1 species